rnacentral:rRNA from 1 species
AUUGAACGCUGGCGGCAGGCCUAACACAUGCAAGUCGAGCGGAUGAAGGGAGCUUGCUCCUGGAUUCAGCGGCGGACGGGUGAGGAAUGCCUAGGAAUCUGCCUGGUAGUGGGGGAUAACGUCCGGAAACGGGCGCUAAUACCGCAUACGUCCUGCGGGAGAAAGUGGGGGAUCUUCGGACCUCACGCUAUCAGAUGAGCCUAGGUCGGAUUAGCUAGUUGGUGGGGUAAAGGCCUACCAAGGCGACGAUCCGUAACUGGUCUGAGAGGAUGAUCAGUCACACUGGAACUGAGACACGGUCCAGACUCCUACGGGAGGCAGCAGUGGGGAAUAUUGGACAAUGGGCGAAAGCCUGAUCCAGCCAUGCCGCGUGUGUGAAGAAGGUCUUCGGAUUGUAAAGCACUUUAAGUUGGGAGGAAGGGCAGUAAGUUAAUACCUUGCUGUUUUGACGUUACCAACAGAAUAAGCACCGGCUAACUUCGUG